rnacentral:siRNA from 1 species
GCAGGGGCGGACUCAGCA